AUUGAACGCUGGCGGCAGGCCUAACACAUGCAAGUCGAGCGAGAAAGGCCUUCGGGCUGAGUAAAGCGGCGGACGGGUGAGUAACGCGUAGGAAUCUACCUGGUAGUGGGGGACAACAUGUGGAAACGCAUGCUAAUACCGCAUACGCCCUACGGGGGAAAGCGGGGGAUCUUCGGACCUCGCGCUAUCAGAUGAGCCUGCGUUAGAUUAGCUAGUUGGUGAGGUAAAGGCUCACCAAGGCGACGAUCUAUAGCUGGUCUGAGAGGAUGAUCAGCCACACUGGAACUGAGACACGGUCCAGACUCCUACGGGAGGCAGCAGUGGGGAAUAUUGCGCAAUGGGGGAAACCCUGACGCAGCCAUGCCGCGUGUGUGAAGAAGGCCCUAGGGUUGUAAAGCACUUUCAAUUGGGAAGAAAGGUCAGUCGUUAAUAGCGGCUGGCUGUGACAUUACCUUUAGAAGAAGCACCGCUAAC
rnacentral:rRNA from 1 species